rnacentral:rRNA from 1 species
GGCGAUUUCCGAAUGGGGAAACCCAGUGUGAUUCGUCACACUAUCAUUAACUGAAUCCAUAGGUUAAUGAGGCGAACCGGGGGAACUGAAACAUCUAAGUACCCCGAGGAAAAGAAAUCAACCGAGAUUCCCCCAGUAGCGGCGAGCGAACGGGGAGGAGCCCAGAGCCUGAAUCAGCAUGUGUGUUAGUGGAAGCGUCUGGAAAGGCGCGCGAUACAGGGUGACAGCCCCGUACACAAAAGCGCAUGUGCUGUGAGCUCGAUGAGUAGGGCGGGACACGUGGUAUCCUGUCUGAAUAUGGGGGGACCAUCCUCCAAGGCUAAAUACUCCUGACUGACCGAUAGUGAACCAGUACCGUGAGGGAAAGGCGAAAAGAACCCCGGCGAGGGGAGUGAAAAAGAACCUGAAACCGUGUACGUACAAGCAGUGGGAGCACAGGUUUACCUGUGUGACUGCGUACCUUUUGUAUAAUGGGUCAGCGACUUAUAUU